AUUAAGUAUGGCGUUAAUCCUAUCAGCAUCAGUUAAUAUCGUCUGCUGGAAUGACGAAUCGUAGUUCGGUUAUUUGGUUAAACAGUGUCUCUAAUUGUUGGAAAAACGUUUCUUUAUUCGAUGAUUACUCUAACGAAUUGAUGGAAUCGCGAUAAAUGACAAAAACGUCUGUUUUAAUGACGGAAUGAUUAUAUCAAUGUUUGUAAUAAUGAAAACACUUCAAAUACACGGACUUGAUUGCGUGCGUCAUUGACAGGUGGUACAGGAAUGUGGGGAAGUAGAUAGAACUACUGUUGUGAACGAUCGGUUAAGUAAAAGAAUCUGCUGAUCAACUAGCAGAUUCAGUUGUGAUGAGCGACUCCGAACAGCGGCAAUUACAUGUGCCUUAUAGAGAAUAUCAUAGCCAGAAUAACACUAACACUUCUGCUCUGGUGGAGACCGAUGCACUGGUAGAUCUCUCUAUCGCAUCUAAAAAUUGUUUGCCAGUGAACAACGAGUGCCCAGAACUGAUACCGGACGUUGAGUUUGUUCCAAACCUGAGCAACGAACAACCUCUAACCAUUGAUUCCCCUGGAAUUGACCGGGAGAGCCAGCCUCUCCUUGGUCGGUUGGAGCUAGACGUUACUUUCAAUCGUUUCCCUGACGAUCCGCAAUUCUCUGAAUUAGCGUGGCAAGCCGAAUGCGCGAUAGAUAAUGGAAUUUAUCCUGAAAGAAUAUAUCAAGGAUCGAGCGGAAGUUACUUUGUAAAAAAUCCCACAGGGAAAGUAAUAGGUGUAUUUAAACCAAAAGAUGAAGAACCAUAUGGAAGGUUGAACCCAAAGUGGACAAAAUGGAUGCACAAGCUUUGUUGUCCUUGUUGCUUUGGGAGAAGUUGUUUGAUACCAAAUCAAGGAUACCUCAGCGAGGCUGGUGCAAGUUUAGUUGACCGCAAGCUAGGUCUCGGCAUAGUUCCAAAUACUAGAGUAGUAAAACUUGUCAGUAAAACAUUUAACUAUCCACGCUUAGACCGUCAAAAAGCUCGCAUGAAACAAGCCAUUAUGGAUCAGUUCCCGACAGUGGGUUCCCACUUCAAUCGUAUCAGUUUACCACCAAAAAUUGGUUCUUUCCAAGUGUUUGUAGACGGCUACAAAGACGCUGAUUAUUGGUUAAGACGAUGGGAGAACGAGUCCUUGUCGCCGCGUCUUAGUAGGGAAUUUCAACUUCAAUUCGAGCGCUUAGUGAUUUUGGAUUAUAUAAUUAGAAAUACGGACAGAGGUAAUGACAAUUGGCUAAUUAAAUACGAUAACACCGUGGGGAAAAACGAAUCGGAUCAGGGCGAGGUAAAGAUCGCCGCAAUAGAUAAUGGUUUGGCAUUUCCUUUUAAACAUCCCGACUCUUGGCGAGCCUAUCCAUAUCAUUGGGCAUGGUUGAGUCAAGCGAAGCAACCAUUUAGCGAAAUAACACGAGAGCUUGUAUUGCCGCAACUCUCGGAUCAAAAUUUUGUACAAGACCUUUGCGACGACUUGUAUCAAUUAUUUAAACAAGAUAAAGGUUUCGAUCGUCACCACUUUGAUAAACAAAUGAGCGUUAUGCGUGGUCAGAUUUUAAACUUGCAGCAAGCUUUAAAGGACGCCAAGAGCCCCGUGCAAUUGGUUCAGAUGCCUGCUGUGAUCGUUGAAAAGGCCAAAGGAAACGGAGCACCAAGACUAUUCUCAUUUUCUGAUACGUUUACACAGCGCUUCCAGAAUAAAAGUCCUUUUUUCUCUUGGUGCUGAACAAGUGUUUUUUCGUAUGUUUGAAACGACGUCAAUCCUGCGUGCCGACUGAAAAAAACUAUUCAGAGUAUCGCAAAACAUCAACUUAUUAGUUUUUCUUCGUCUUUCUUAUUUUUAUUUCACAUUACUAUCUCUUUUUGAACACAAGUUCUUGAUCUAUUCUCCGUAGAUUUAUCCGACGAAUUAUGUUUAAUUUAUCAUAUAUCUAAAAAAAAUGUUUCCUUUUAAUUUGAAUAUAGUAUAUUGUAUACAGUAAAUAUAUAUAACGUUAAACAAAAUUUUUUUUUCGAUAUGCUUCGUGUGAAAGAAGAAAGUAAGAAAAGUGAUUAACGAAUAUAUGCAACGUUUUAUGUCUACGCAUAAACAAUACCCCCCCUUAACGAAGCGCGAGUAUAUAUUCAUAUUAUGUCUGGAAGAAACAUGAGAAACAUAAAAAUGAACUGUAAUCUGAUACUUAAAGGCCAUAUUCUUAUUGUUUAAAAUAAACAUUCUACGGAAUCAUAUUAUAUUUUUAACCACGACUGAUGAGAAAAUAAAUUUUCUAUUAGCGGCUAAGACGUAAAAUUUAUAUUAUGGUCGUCAAAGAUUUCGAUUUACGAAAUUAAAUCUUUUCUGAUUUUACAACGCGUAAUAACACGAUAUUUGAAUGUACAAUCGAUCGUCCGUGUAAUCGAUUUUAUCGUGACCUGUACUUUGUUUUCGUUUAAAUAACAUUGACUUAAAACUAACUUCGAAGAUAUGUUAUCGUUAAAUUACACGUUUCAUUCGAGUCGCAAAAUGUAACACAAAAGUUGACAGUUGCAAGUAGCAAUCAUCGUCGUUUUGUAUCGUUGUAUUUUAUAUUGUGAAACAUUUUGUAUUUAGACUCAUCGACGGGAAGCGCGUAUUUAUACUAUUUAAUUAGAAAAAAAAAAAAAAAAAAUAGUAAAAUGGAAGUGGUGGAGAUUAACACGAACAAGAGGCAGUUGUCACGUUAUAAACCGUUAGAAUGCCCAUGUAACGUUAGAGUAACGAUCUAUUCUUAUUUACAUUACGAUCUUUUUAUUCGAUUAUAUUAUUUAUAUUUGUACUGUACAUAUAGUGUACGAAGAGAUACGUGCAACCAUUACGAGUAAAAUCAUUCGCACCGGAGAGAACGUAUUGUCCGCCGUCGAAGGUUCUCGAGGCUAAUACAACGUACCACUUGUCGU